AUUGAACGCUGGCGGCAGGCUUAACACAUGCAAGUCGAGCGGGGAAAGGUAGCUUGCUACCUGACCUAGCGGCGGACGGGUGAGUAAUGCUUAGGAAUCUGCCUAUUAGUGGGGGACAACAUCUCGAAAGGGAUGCUAAUACCGCAUACGUCCUACGGGAGAAAGCAGGGGACCUUCGGGCCUUGCGCUAAUAGAUGAGCCUAAGUCGGAUUAGCUAGUUGGUGGGGUAAAGGCCUACCAAGGCGACGAUCUGUAGCGGGUCUGAGAGGAUGAUCCGCCACACUGGGACUGAGACACGGCCCAGACUCCUACGGGAGGCAGCAGUGGGGAAUAUUGGACAAUGGGGGGAACCCUGAUCCAGCCAUGCCGCGGGUGUGAAGAAGGCCUUUUGGUUGUAAAGCACGUUAAGCGAGGAGGAGGCUACCGAGAUUAAUACUCUUGGAUAGUGGACGUUACUCGCAGAAUAAGCACCGGCUAACUCUGUG
rnacentral:rRNA from 1 species